AGUGCAGCUUUGCGCAUAUGUGUUUACGUUUUACAGAAACGAAACUUAAAACCGCAUGGCUAAACUUACAUAAACAAAGCGCUCAUAAAACAGCUCGUUCCUAAUACGCGGUUCAGCUUCUCUCGGACUUAAAAAGAACACGACUCAGUGGAAUAUGAGUGUUCUUUCUAUGACAGAGUCACGUUGUACUAAUGGAUGGCGGCAUGCAUAGAGAGACACACCUGCUCCAUCUAUACAGACACACAGAUGCAAAGCCCAGAACACAAACACCAUCUGGAUGAACUACUGACACGGUUGAACUGCUGCUGUCUCAUGGUGCAUUUGGCUGAUUCACCGCUUCAGUCUGGAUUCAGGGCGUUCUUGUUUUUGAUCUCUCUGAAUGGAUUUGGACUCUGGACACUCUGCUCUUGUCUGUGCUCAUCGGUCACUGCCAGUGCUGCCACAACGCACCUCCAAGAUAAAGAGCCUCACCCAAAUCACAAGUAACUUCAGCUUUGUUUCUAUGCUCCAACUUUGAUGCAGCAUGCAAAAGUUGCACUAUGUAAUUUUCUUGGUGGAGAGUCUGUCACUCCAUAGAGAUCUUAUUACAACGGAUUGAAUUCCACAGUAUGGCGGUCACACUACAGGACUUUUUGGUUUUAAAGAAUUUUUAAACAUGCAACAAAAAGCGCACACCACAGACACAAGAAUAUUAUGAGAUUUUAAAUCUUUGAUUGCAAAGAGUGCUGCUGGAUAUGGCUUUUUUACCUCACGCUACACAGUUCACUGAAAAAAUUGUCCGAGAGGGAUUGCACAAAUUGCAAAAACAAAUUUGACAACAAUAACAUGACUUUUUUAUGUUUCUCUGUCCAGCAUGUUUAAAUCUUACAAAGGUCACUUGACUGUGGCCGAUGUCAGACCUGCAUGUUUUAAUCAGGUUGAGGAAACAUGACUUUAUUAUAAUCUCUGGUGAGGCUCCUCCCUCUGGAAUUCUCCUCCCCAAAACUUUUGGAGGGAAAAUUCAAAUGUAACAGGACACAGGACAGUUAGAUGAGCAGAGGACACACACUGUGGAGCAGGAGGAUUAUGAGAGCUGAUCUGGAGAGUCGUCUACAAACACAGAGUGACGUCCAGAGCUCUGCUGGAGCUGUGGGGAACUUCAUGAAUGUUAUAGCUGAUGUUUCAGGAAAAAGGAAGAUGUUUGAGAACCAACAAAACACAAAGCACAGAUGAACAAAGGUGAUGUGGCACUAGAGGACUUUAUACCAGAUGCCCUCCCUGUUACUGCAUUUAGAGGAAGAAAAGCAGCACACAUGAGUUUUUUUUCUGCAGAUACAGUUCUAAUGUUCACAUGAUUCUUUUCUGGUCCAUUAUUGUAGUAAUAAGUGCUUUAAGUGUAUUUAAACAUGUACAACAGAGUAGAUCAUCAGAAUGUGUUCAUCAUGUGUUAUUCCUGUGUCCACAGACAGAGACCAGAGUGUCUUCACUGGAAUAAAUCUUCACACUGUCC